UGGGGAAUCUUGCGCAAUGGGCGAAAGCCUGACGCAGCCAUGCCGCGUGAAUGAUGAAGGUCUUAGGAUUGUAAAAUUCUUUCACCGGGGACGAUAAUGACGGUACCCGGAGAAGAAGCCCCGGCUAACUUCGUGCCAGCAGCCGCGGUAAUACGAAGGGGGCUAGCGUUGCUCGGAAUUACUGGGCGUAAAGGGCGCGUAGGCGGAUCGUUAAGUCAGAGGUGAAAUCCCAGGGCUCAACCCUGGAACUGCCUUUGAUACUGGCGAUCUUGAGUAUGAGAGAGGUAUGUGGAACUCCGAGUGUAGAGGUGAAAUUCGUAGAUAUUCGGAAGAACACCAGUGGCGAAGGCGACAUACUGGCUCAUUACUGACGCUGAGGCGCGAAAGCGUGGGGGGCAAACAGG
rnacentral:rRNA from 1 species